rnacentral:tRNA from 1 species
GGCCAGGUAGCUCAGUCGGUAGAGCAGCGGACUGAAAAUCCGCGUGUCGCGUGUUCGAUUCACGCCCUGGCCACCA